rnacentral:misc_RNA from 1 species
GUGAAUCAUCGAAUUUUUGAACGCAUAUUGCACUCUCUGGUAUUCCGGAGAGUAUGCCUGUUUGAGGGUCAGCCUAAAAAAAAAAUCGACAUAGUCGCUGUUUCUCGGUUACAUUCGUCGGAAAUUUGUUCUUCUUAAACCUUUGGUUUUUAAGCUUCUUAAAUUUUUCUUUUCGUUUUCCCGAACUUUUCUAAGUUUUACUUCUUUUCCGUUUAAGGUAUCGAUCUUUAUUAGACGUG